GUGUGAUGAUGAUGAUGAUGAUGAUGAUGAUGGUGAUGAUGAUCAUCAUCAUCACCAUCAUCAUCAUCACCAUCAUCAUCACCAUCAUCAUCAUCA
rnacentral:pre_miRNA from 1 species